rnacentral:tRNA from 1 species
GUACCAGUAGCUCAGUUGGAUAGAGCAACGGUCUUCUAAACCGUUUGUCCCGGGUUCUAGAAUGCAAAAAGCCCCGAUGUCAGUGUGCCA